AUUGAACGCUGGCGGCAGGCCUAACACAUGCAAGUCGAACGAGUGGCGGACGGGUGAGUAAUGUCUGGGAAACUUCCUGAUGGAGGGGGAUAGCUACUGGAAACGGUAACUAAUACCGCAUACAUUCGGAUGUGCCCAGAUGGGAUUAGCUAGUAGGUGGGGUAAAGGCUCACCUAGGCCACGAUCCCUACUUGGUCUGAGAGGAUGACCAGCCACACUGGAACUGAGACACGGUCCAGACUCCUACGGGAGGCAGCAGUGGGGAAGAUUGGACAAUGGGCGAAAGCCUGAUGCAGCCAUGCCGCGUGUGUGAAGAAGGUCUUCGGGUUGUAAAGUACUUUCAGCGGGGAGGCGUUACCAGCAGAAGAAGCACCGGCUAACUCCGUGCCAGCAGCCGCGGUAAUAC
rnacentral:rRNA from 1 species